UCCCUGUAGGACUAGUGGUUAGGCCACAAUGCUCUCAGCGUUACGGCUAGGGUUCGAUUCCCGGCCAGGGAA